rnacentral:rRNA from 1 species
UGGGGAAUUUUGGACAAUGGGCGAAAGCCUGAUCCAGCAAUGCCGCGUGUGUGAAGAAGGCCUUCGGGUUGUAAAGCACUUUUGUCCGGAAAGAAAUGGCUCUGGUUAAUACCUGGGGUCGAUGACGGUACCGGAAGAAUAAGGACCGGCUAACUACGUGCCAGCAGCCGCGGGAAUACGUAGGGUCCAAGCGUUAAUCGGAAUUACUGGGCGUAAAGCGUGCGCAGGCGGUUGUGCAAGACCGAUGUGAAAUCCCCGGGCUUAACUUGGGAAGUGCAUUGGUGACUGCACGGCUAGAGUGUGUCAGAGGGGGGUAGAAUUCCACGUGUAGCAGUGAAAUGCGUAGAGAUGUGGAGGAAUACCGAUGGCGAAGGCAGCCCCCUGGGAUAACACUGACGCUCAUGCACGAAAGCGUGGGGAGCAAACAGG